AAAGCACAAUGACGCCUUCUUAUUUCCUCGUGAAGGAGGUCAUAAGGAUGAGCAUGUUAUUCAGAAACUUUUCAACAACUGGCUCAAGGGCACUUGUUUAUGUGACAACACGUUAUGCUCAAGCCCAGGCCUCUGACGCCAAAUCCAGACGCUUGGCUCUGUACAGUGAUGCUGCUAAUUAGGGGGGCUGCCCCCACUGCAUCCCCUCCUAUUGACCCAACGCUUCUUUAAAGAUGGCAAUUGGAUAUGACCUAAGAUGUACCAGCUCGUGCAAACAUCUUCCUACAGCUCAUACAAUCAGGCCCAUGAGACACUACCAAUCUACUUCGAAGUAAACAGCCCUGUGACCAUUUUAAAGAUGAGAAACUUAAGACUUAAAAGAUUAAUUGGUUUCCCCAAACACUUGGUUCCAGCAAAGUAAAAAACUAAGAGAACUUCUGUCUCCUACUUCAGAGUACUUUUCAUCAUAACAGAUACCCCUUAAAUGUUGUAACUCCCUCCUUUUUGAUGGAGUAAUGUUCUGUUUGAGAAAAGGGAGACAGCUGUCAAAUCAGAUUCAGUUCCAUUACUAGAAAAAAAGGCAAAAGGCUCAGCUACCAAAUGAUGAAAAAUUCUCCGCUUUUAUAGACUGUCAAGCUUCUAAAAAUAUUUCACCACUAGUCUCUUCUUUCAGUUAAGACACUGAAAGCUCCUAGUAGAGGUCAAAAAUGGCAUCUGUGGGUAGGAGUAAGUUAGAUGAUUAUCCCCUUGGCACCCAGAGUAGAUCUAAGUAAGCACAGUUGGAGGGUUGAGUUCACGCAUUCACCUGAUCACUGCGUAGCUGUCAGUUAAACCUGUUCUCCACUCCUGACACUAUGAUUCAUACAUGGAUAUAUAGCUGAAAACAAAACCAAAAAAACCAAU